GAUGAACGCUAGCUACAGGCUUAACACAUGCAAGUCGCGGGGCAGCAUGGGGGUUGCUUGCAACCCCUGAUGGCGACCGGCGCACGGGUGAGUAACGCGUAUCCAACCUGCCCUUCACCACGGGAUAACCCGGCGAAAGUCGGACUAAUACCGUAUGUUGUCCUUUGACGGCAUCCGAUUUGGACGAAAGGCUUGGCGGUGAAGGGAUGGGGAUGCGUCCGAUUAGCUUGACGGCGGGGUAACGGCCCACCGUGGCUACGAUCGGUAGGGGUUCUGAGAGGAAGGUCCCCCACACUGGAACUGAGACACGGUCCAGACUCCUACGGGAGGCAGCAGUGAGGAAUAUUGGUCAAUGGGCGUAAGCCUGAACCAGCCAAGUAGCGUGCAGGAUGACGGCCCUAUGGGUUGUAAACUGCUUUUAUGCGGGGAUAAAGUGGCCCACGUGUGGGCUUUUGCAGGUACCGCAUGAAUAAGGACCGGCUAAUUCCGUG
rnacentral:rRNA from 1 species